AUUGAACGCUGGCGGCAGGCCUAACACAUGCAAGUCGAACGAGUGGCGGACGGGUGAGUAAUGUAUGGGAACGUGCCCGAUGGAGGGGGAUAACUACUGGAAACGGUAGCUAAUACCGCAUACCAUCGGGUCGGCCCAGAUUGGAUUAGCUAGUGGGUGGGGUAACGGCUCACCUAGGCAACGAUCCCUAGCUGGUUUGAGAGGAUGACCAGCCACACUGGAACUGAGACACGGUCCAGACUCCUACGGGAGGCAGCAGUGGGGAAUAUUGCACAAUGGGCGCAAGCCUGAUGCAGCCAUGCCGCGUGUAUGAAGAAGGCCUUCGGGUUGUAAAGUACUUUCAGCGAGGAGGCGUUACUCGCAGAAGAAGCACCGGCUAACUCCGUGCCAGCAGCCGCGGUAAUAC
rnacentral:rRNA from 1 species